rnacentral:misc_RNA from 1 species
UCUCCGUUGGUGAACCAGCGGAGGGACCAUUACAGAGUUUUUAACUCCCAAACCCAUGUGAACUUACCAUUGUUGCCUCGGCGGAGCCUACCCUGUAGAUACGCUGUAGGGUGGUUACCCUGUAGCGCCCCGCCGGUGGAUUUUCAAACUAUUGUUAUUUUUAGUAAUCUGAGCGUCUUAUUUUAAAUAAGUCAAAACUUUCAACAACGGAUCUCUUGGUUCUGGCAUAGAUGAAGAACGCAGC